AAAAAAAAAAAUUUGUUUUUUGUCUAGGAUGGCCGUGUAAAGAGUCACGACUUUUGAGACGCAUCCUAAUAGUCUUGUUGUAUUAUAUUUUGAUUUUGAGAUUUAUAGUAAGUUGUUUUUGUUCCCUUUUCUUUGAAUUACUCAAAUUUGUGAACUCUCCACUUGGUUAUUAAGUUAUUUAAUUGUUUACUCAUUUAACAGGUAUUGUUGAAUCAUUCUUCACACACACAUUAUGACACAUACUAGUGGGUUGUAAGUUAAAAUUUUACAGCAUUUAGUUCUUUUGAUUUAUUAGGAAAAGUAUCUAAGGUAGUAGAAAGUGUAUAUUCCAAACAAAAAAAAAAAUCAAAUAAAAAAAAAAAAAGAAAAAAAAUAAUUUUGUUAUAUCUAGAAACCCGAGUAAUUAAGUCCGUAGGGGUGUUUCAACACCUAGUGCCCUAAGGCCAACUGGUCUGGGAGUCACUGGCCUAAAGCUCGCUACAUGGGUAAUAGAUAUAUUGUUUGUUUAUUAGAAACCCGAGUAAUUAAGUCCGUAGGGGUGUUUCAACACCUAGUGCCCUAAGGCCAACUGGUCUGGGAGUCACUGGCCUAAAGCUCGCUACAUGGGUAAUAGAUAUAUUGUUUGUUUAUUAGAAACCCGAGUAAUUAAGUCCGUAGGGGUGUUUCAACACCUAGUGCCCUAAGGCCAACUGGUCUGGGAGUCACUGGCCUAAAGCUCGCUACAUGGGUAAUAGAUAUAUUGUUUGUUUAUUAGAAACCCGAGUAAUUAAGUCCGUAGGGGUGUUUCAACACCUAGUGCCCUAAGGCCAACUGGUCUGGGAGUCACUGGCCUAAAGCUCGCUACAUGGGUAAUAGAUAUAAUGUUUGUUUAUUAGAAACCCGAGUAAUUAAGUCCGUAUGGGUGUUUCAACACCUAGUGCCCUAAGGUCAACUGGUCUGGGAGUCACUGGCCUAAAGCUCGCUACACGGGUUAGAAAUGUAAUAUAUAUAUAAAAAAAAAAAGUGUGAAUAAUCUAUUGCCUAAAGAUAUAAUUUCUAAUGAAUUUUAGAACGAAAAUGUUGUUUUUCUUUUAAUGAAGCCCCAUAAGUAUUGUGUUAAUUACUUGAGCACAAAAGAAGGUUUGAUGAUAUUCUGGAUAAUGAGUGAACAUCAAUGUGGUAAAGGAAUUUGGGAGAGUUCAUUUAUUUGGUAAUUUAGAGGAUAGAUGAACAACUAUUAACUUGCAUGUGAAUUUUAUAAAUCUUAAUUUAAUAUAACGCUUGCUAGAGGGCUAGCAAUAAGCUGGUUAGGGGGUGUGAUUAGUAUUAAAAAUUAUUUAAUUAUCAAGCGAUAAUAUGUUAUUUUAUGCUUAUGUUAUAAUUUAUAUUUGUGUUUAUGUAAUAUAUUAUGAAUUAUUAAUUAUGUUUUAAAUAUAUUUAAUUUUGUGUAUUUUUAUGUGGUUAUUAGGAAAAUUAUUAAUUUCAUGUACUUCGAGGCUCCAAACAGAUAAACGGAGGUCAAAUUUGGAUUCCGGAGGUCCGAAAACCUUAAGAUCAGUCAAGAUCGGCUUAAAAUUGGGCUUGUGUAAAAAAAAGUUGACUUUUCCUGUUGACCGAGC
rnacentral:lncRNA from 1 species